ACCGGAGGUGCUGGGCAGGGACCUCGUCAGCCCCAGGGGGAGAUGGGAGAGCCCAGGGGUGGGGAGAGGAGAGAGAGAGGAGUAAAGAGGAAAGGAGAAAGAAGUCAGAAAGUAAGAGGAAGGGGAGGGGCCCCAGCUUUGAAAACCACUAAGUCCAGAGACAAACCCAAGUCUGGAUCCACCAGACACCCCCGUGGCCUCCCACAGCUCCAGGCUGACCCUGGCACUGGGCCUCAGGGCUGGACCCCAGCAACCAGUGGGUGCACUGAGUGCAUGGGAGGUCUGUACCCUCCCCGCCCCACCCCAGGGCAGGGCUCACGGUGGCUAUCACGGUCCCUGCUUCCCGGCGGUGCAGCAGGGCCUCCCCUCCCCCCCACUCACUGCUGCUCAGCCCUGGCGCGGUCGCUGACGAAGAAGAGCGCAGUGGCGAGGAAGAACAUGCCGCCCAGGACCACGACGAAAGGGCAGAGCAUGAGCGCGUAGCCCAGGCUCAGGAACUCCCAGAGCGGGGAGUCCUUAGUGCUCUGGCGGAUCAGGUCUGAGAUCUGCGAGGAUUUGGGGGUGGAUGUCAGGGCAGAGCCCUCCUGCAGUCCCCCAGCCUGCCCUGGCCAGCCCCACCCCGGGGCUACUCACAAAGCCAAUGAGGUAGGGGCUCCCGGCGUCCCCCAGCAGGUGGGAGGUGAAGCUCUGCAAGGCCACGGCAGUGGCGCGCCGCGUGGGGAUGACCACGUACUGCGGAACAGGCGGGCAGGUCAGCGGCCAGAGGAGAAAGGCUCACGCGCUUGGCCCUGGCCCCGGGCCGUGGCACUUCUGAAGCCCCCACACCCUCAGACUCACUCCUGCCCUACGUCUUGACACCUCUCUCCCCUGGGCCCUGCCCUCCUCCCCACAGUCCCCUCUACUGCCCACCCCACCAGCCUGGCUGCUUCUCUCCUGCCAGUCACCCUUCUCCUCCCUGAGCCCCUCCCACCCACACACAGCUGCAGUCACCCUCACCCCAGGGGCUUCCACACCUCCAACCCAGACCACUGCGACCUGCCCCAUACUGAAAGCGUCAUUGGCCUCAAACCUGCUGUGCCCCCAGCACACCCCUCUGAAAUUGGAAUCUUCACCUCCCUCCCAGCUACAUGCAGUUAAGGAAUGAUACUUUGGGGGUUGCCCAGGCGCCAGUCACUAGAGGCCAUUAGCCCAGAGCCCUCCGAGCCUCGGAGUACCCGAGCCAUCAGGAACGGCCAUGCUGCUGCCUCUCCAGCGCGGCUCCUGCUCCAUUCCUGAGACCAGGGUGCCUUGGCUUCUGCCCUUGGACCUGGGUCACGGGGACACUGAGGUCUAGAGAGGCACAUGUUCCCGAGGGAACCUGAACCCCCGCCACAGCCAUUUGUCCUCACCUCCCAUCAAGCUAAAGACCCAUCUUGGUUCCCCUCCCUGAGGACCAAGCCAGGCCUCGACUGGCCUGGGACAGGAGCUGGUGAGGCAGGCCCCUGCCUGCAAGAGCCUCCGCUCGCACCCGCGGGCACCCUCAGCACCAAAUGCCGGCACUGCUGGGCCCCAGACCCCCAUCAGACCAAGCAGGCCCCAACCUACAGGAGGUUGGCUUCAAAGCUGGGCAGGCCAGAGUCAGAC
rnacentral:lncRNA from 1 species